GACGAACGCUGGCGGCGUGCCUAAUACAUGUAAGUCGAGCGGACAGAAGGGAGCUUGCUCCCGGAAGUUAGCGGCGGACGGGUGAGUAACACGUGGGCAACCUACCCUGUAGAUCGGGAUAACAUCGAGAAAUCGGUGCUAAUACCGGAUAAUCAUUUGAAGUGCAUGCUUCGAAUGUAAAAGAUGGCUCCGGCUAUCACUACGGGAUGGGCCCGCGGCGCAUUAGCUAGUUGGUAAGGUAAUGGCUUACCAAGGCAACGAUGCGUAGCCGACCUGAGGGGGUGAUCGGCCACACUGGGACUGAGACACGGCCCAGACUCCUACGGGAGGCAGCAGUAGGGAAUCUUCCGCAAUGGACGAAAGUCUGACGGAGCAACGCCGCGUGAGUGAUGAAGGUUUUCGGAUCGUAAAGCUCUGUUGUUAGGGAAGAACAAGUGCCGUUUGAAUAAGGCGGCACCUUGACGGUACCUAACCAGAAAGCCACGGCUAACUACGUGCCAGCAGCCGCCGUAACAC
rnacentral:rRNA from 1 species